rnacentral:rRNA from 1 species
CAAAGGGAUUACCGGUGGCGGAUGGGCAUGCGGCGCAUUAGCUAGUCGGCGGGGUAACGGCCCACCGAGGCGACGAUGCGUAGGGGUUCUGAGAGGAAGGUCCCCCACACUGGUACUGAGACACGGACCAGACUCCUACGGGAGGCAGCAGUGAGGAAUAUUGGUCAAUGGGCGCGAGCCUGAACCAGCCAAGUCGCGUGAGGGAUGACGGUCCUACGGAUUGUAAACCUCUUUUGCCGGGGAGCAAGCGUGCGUUCGUGAACGCGCGUCGAGAGUACCCGGAGAAAAAGCAUCGGCUAACUCCGUGCCAGCAGCCGCGGUAAUACGGAGGAUGCGAGCGUUAUCCGGAUUUAUUGGGUUUAAAGGGUGCGUAGGCGGGAUGCCAAGUCAGCGGUAAAAAUGCGGUGCUCAACGCCGUCGAGCCGUUGAAACUGGCGUUCUUGAGUGGGCGAGAAGUAUGCGGAAUGCGUGGUGUAGCGGUGAAAUGCAUAGAUAUCACGCAGAACUCCGAUUGCGAAGGCAGCAUACCGGCGCCCUACUGACGCUGAGGCGCGAAAGCGUGGGUAUCGAACAGGAUUAGAUACCCUGGUAGUCCACGCAGUAAACGAUGAAUGCUAACUGUCCGGCUCGAAUGAGCGCUGG